AUAUCAAUAAGCGGAGGAAAAGAAACCAACGGGGAUUGCCUCAGUAACGGCGAGCGAAGCGGCAACAGCUCAAAUUUGAAAUCCGUCCCCUCACCCGGGGUCCGAGUUGUAAUUUGUAGAGGAUGCUUCGGACAAGGCUGUGGUCCAAGUCCUUUGGAACAGGGCGCCAGAGAGGGUGAGAGUCCCGUCUUCGGCCGCGAGCCGCGUCCAUGUGAAGCUCCUUCGACGAGUCGCGUUGUUUGGGAAUGCAGCGCAAAAUGGGUGGUAAAUUUCAUCUAAAGCUAAAUACCGGCCAGAGACCGAUAGCGCACAAGUAGAGUGAUCGAAAGGUGAAAAGUACUUUGAAAAGAGAGUUAAAUAGUACGUGAAAUUGUUGAAAGGGAAGCGCUUGCAGCCAGAUUUGUGGGCGGUCAUUCAGCCGUCGAUCUUCAACGGUGUAAUUUGAUGUCUCCAGGCCAGCAUCGGUUCAGACAGCCAGUCAAAGGCCCCGGGAAUGUAUCGCCCCUCUCCGGGGGUUGACUUAUAGCCCGCGGGUGGCAUGUGGCUCGCCUGGACCGAGGAACGCGCAUCUGCACGGAUGCUGGCGUAACGGCUGUAAGCGACCCGUCUUGAAACACGGACCAAGGAGUCUAACAUCUGUGCGAGUGUUCGGGCGACAAACCCUUGCGCGUAAUGAAAGUGAACGGAGGUAGGAAACCCUUGGGAAACCCCGGGGUUGCACUAUCGGCCGAUCCUGAUGUUCUCGGAUGGAUUUGAGCAAGAGCAUAGCUGUUGGGACCCGAAAGAUGGUGAACUAUGCGUGUAUAGGGUGAAGUCAGUGGAAACNUUGAUGGAGGCUCGCAGCGGUUCUGACGUGCAAAUCGAUCGUCAAAUAUG
rnacentral:rRNA from 1 species